UGGGGAAUCUUGCACAAUGGGCGCAAGCCUGAUGCAGCAACGCCGCGUGAACGAUGAAGUUCUUCGGAUCGUAAAGUUCUGUUGCAGGGGAAGAUAAUGACGGUACCCUGUGAGGAAGCCCCGGCUAACUACGUUCCAGCAGCCGCGGUAAUACGUAGGGGGCUAGCGUUAUUCGGAUUUACUGGGCGUAAAGGGUGCGUAGGUGGUCUUUCAAGUCGGUGGUUAAAGGCUACGGCUCAACCGUAGUUAGCCUCCGAAACUGGAAGACUUGAGUGCAGGAGAGGAAAGUGGAAUUCCCAGUGUAGCGGUGAAAUGCGUAGAUAUUGGGAGGAACACCAGUAGCGAAGGCGGCUUUCUGGACUACAACUGACACUGAGGCACGAAAGCGUGGGUAGCAAACAGG
rnacentral:rRNA from 1 species